rnacentral:lncRNA from 10 species
CUGUCACCCAGGCUGGCAUGAUCUCAGCUCACUGCAACCUCUGCCUCCUGGGUUCGAGCGAUUCUCCUGCCUCAGCCUCUUGAGUAGCUGUGAUUACAGGCGCUCACCACCCUGCCUGGCUAAUUUUCGUAUUUUUAGUAGAGACGGGGUUUCACCAUGUUGGCCAGCCUGGUCUCAAACUCCUGACCUCAGGUGAUCUGCCCACCUCAGCCUCCCAAAAUGCUGGGAUUACACAUGUGAGCCACCAUGCCCAGCCCGACUCUAUUAUAUUUCUAUUACAGAACCUAAAAUAGUUCUUUGUGUAAGAGGUAUCCUCAUCUUAUUGAUGAGGAAACUGGUGCUCAAAGAAGUUAAGUAGCUGGGUUUUGGACCCAUCUGUUUACUGUGAAGCCCUUUUACUUUCUGCAAUAGUCCCUUCACUUCUACCUCAGUGGCAGGCACCCACUAGAUCUGAGAAUUUUCUUGCUGUGGCCUCUUCAGAGGGCACUAGUGUGGGUACGUGGACCCCCUUGCUGUGGUGGGCAGGGGCUAAAGAUGGAGAGCAGAGGCAGGAGAAUCUGGUGUUGUCGCAAAGAAAAAAUUGGCAGGGCUGACAAAGCCUUAGAUUCACAGGCACCAAAGGGAAAAAUAAUGGUGCCACAGGGGUAGAGCCAGGGACCUGUGCAUGUCCUCGUGUAGGAAAAAGGCAGGAGGCAGCAGGCAGCAGGCAAGCUCUGUUUCCAAGGUGCCUCAUUACACUUCCACCCCUCUAACUUCAUACAUGGGAAUUCUCCUUCCCGAUGUAGAAAACCUGCCUCCUGACCUGCAGCCACACAGCUCGGUCACCACAGAGCUAGGCAACCCCAUUCCUGUCUAGUCCUUCUUUUCAACAUGGUCCUGAGACUGCUCCCAGUUCCAGCCCUCCCCAAGAGCAAGAGCACUGUGCUUGGAGUCCUGAGUACCUGUCUCUCUGCCAGACCUGCCCCCUUCAGCCUAAAAGGCCUCUGCCAGCCAGGGCACGACUCUGCUGCAUCCAGAGGGGCCAGAGCCAGCCCCGCCAGCAAGCAGCACACCGUCUGCGGCCAGCCGCCCACCACCUUC